rnacentral:piRNA from 1 species
UGGCGUCGGCGAAUGCACGCAUGCGGUC